AUUGAACGCUGGCGGCAUGCCUUACACAUGCAAGUCGAACGGCAGCACGGGAGCAAUCCUGGUGGCGAGUGGCGAACGGGUGAGUAAUAUAUCGGAACGUGCCCAGUCGUGGGGGAUAACGCAGCGAAAGCUGUGCUAAUACCGCAUACGAUCUCUGGAUGAAAGCGGGGGACUUGAAAGAGCCUCGCGCGAUUGGAGCGGCUGAUAUCAGAUUAGCUAGUUGGUGGGGUAAAGGCCCACCAAGGCGACGAUCUGUAGCUGGUCUGGGAGGACGACCAGCCACACUGGAACUGAGACACGGUCCGGACUCCUACGGGAGGCAGCAGUGGGGAAUUUUGGACAAUGGGCGCAAGCCUGAUCCAGCAAUGCCGCGUGCAGGAUGAAGGCCUUCGGGUUGUAAACUGCUUUUGUACGGAGCGAAAAGGCCCUCUCUAAUACAGUGGGCUCAUGACGGUACCGUAAGAAUAAGCACCGGCUAACUACGUGCCAGCCGCCGCCGUAAGAC
rnacentral:rRNA from 1 species